GAUGAACGCUGGCGGCGUGCCUAAUACAUGCAAGUCGAGCGAACAGACGAGGAGCUUGCUCCUCUGACGUUAGCGGCGGACGGGUGAGUAACACGUGGAUAACCUACCUAUAAGACUGGGAUAACUUCGGGAAACCGGAGCUAAUACCGGAUAAUAUAUUUAACCGCAUGGUUCAAUAGUGAAAGACGGUUUUGCUGUCACUUAUAGAUGGAUCCGCGCCGCAUUAGCUAGUUGGUAAGGUAACGGCUUACCAAGGCGACGAUGCGUAGCCGACCUGAGAGGGUGAUCCGCCACACUGGAACUGAGACACGGUCCAGACUCCUACGGGAGGCAGCAGUAGGGAAUCUUCCGCAAUGGGCGAAAGCCUGACGUAGCAACGCCGCGUGAGUGAUGAAGUUCUUCUGAUCGUAAAACUCUGUUAGUAGGGAAGAACAAAUGUGUAAGUAACUAUGCACGUCUUGACGGUACCUAAUCAGAAAGCCACGGCUAACUACGUG
rnacentral:rRNA from 1 species